UCGAGCGGGUAUAGCAAUAUAUCAGCGGCGAAAGGGAGAGUAACGCGUAGCUACGUACCCCGGAGUCCGGAAUAGCCAGCCGAAAGGCUGGGUAAUGCCGGAUGAUGUCUCCGGACUAAAGGUGUGAUUCCGCUUUGGGAGCGGGCUGCGUUGUACUAGCUUGUUGGUAGGGUAAUGGCCUACCAAGGCGAUGAUGCAUACCGGGCGUGAGAGCGUGGCCCGGCUCACUGGGACUGAGACACUGCCCAGACACCUACGGGUGGCUGCAGUCGAGAAUCUUCGGCAAUGAGCGCAAGCUUGACCGAGCGACGCCGCGUGCGGGAUGAAGGCCUUCGGGUUGUAAACCGCGAAAGUAGGGAGGAAAUCGCUGGGGGUUCUCCUCCAGUGUUGACCUAUCUUCAGUAAGGACGGGCUAAGUUCGUGCCAGCAGCCGCGGUAAUACGAACCGUCCAAACGUUAUUCGGAUUUAUUGGGCUUAAAGGGUAUGUAGGCGGCCCUUCAAGUCGGGUGUGAAAGCCCUCGGCUCAACCGAGGAACUGCGCCCGAUACUGUGGGGCUCGAGGGAGACAGAGGUAAGCGGAACUGAUGGUGGAGCGGUGAAAUGCGUUGAUAUCAUCAGGAACACCAGUGGCGAAAGCGGCUUACUGGGUCUCUUCUGGACGCUGAGAUACGAAAGCUAGGGGAG
rnacentral:rRNA from 1 species